UUAAUUGAAGAGUUUGAUCAUGGCUCAGAUUGAACGCUGGCGGCAGGCCUAACACAUGCAAGUCGAGCGGCAGCACAGAGGAACUUGUUCCUUGGGUGGCGAGCGGCGGACGGGUGAGUAAUGCCUGGGAAAUUGCCCGGUAGAGGGGGAUAACCAUUGGAAACGAUGGCUAAUACCGCAUACCCUCGCCAGACCAAAGCAGGGGACCUUCGGGCCUUGCGCUACCGGAUAUGCCCAGGUGGGAUUAGCUAGUUGGUGAGGUAAGAGCUCACCAAGGCGACGAUCCCUAGCUGGUCUGUGAGGAUGAUCAGCC
rnacentral:rRNA from 1 species